ensembl:lncRNA
GAACAAAUGGGCUGUAUAUGUUCACACCAUCAGCAUAGCAUGUGAUAUUAGAAGCCAAAGUUUUAGACUUGGUUAUGGUGCUGAGCAGCACAGUUGCCUCUGUUUCUUUUGUUUUGGCUCCGCCUCACUUUGACCCAACUAAUUGAUAGUGAAAUUAAUUGCAUUCGACUAGAUGUUGCCGCUCUAAUUUUGACCAUGGCAUAUAAAGUGAGGAGAACAAGCAUGUGAACCGCUGCCGAUUUUGCAGGUUUUCCUACUUUCAAAGCAUGUAGAGGUUUGUAACUUUUAUCAUAGGUACACUUCAAAUGUGAGAAAUGCAAGGGUGCCAGUAGUUUUGACCAUGACUGUAUGCGGGCUCAGAUGAUGAGUGACAGUUGGUAUUCCUGCAGGGAUAGGCGUAAAGACAGGGAGGAGAAAAGAAGAGCCAAGGACGACGUCUCCCGGGUCAUCAAGGAGGAUCGGAGGCAAAGGGGGAAGAAGGGCAAAACCCCUCCCAAAAGCUACAGUACGUUCCGAAGGUCCCGGAGCACGAGCAGGGGCCACAGAAGGAAGAGCCGGGAUAGCUCCAGGAGUCCGAGGAGGAAAGCCAGGUCUCCCUCACCUAAGAGAGUAAAAGACAAGAAGAGGGAGAAAGCAAGGGAUAGCAGCAGGGAAAGAAGAGACCGAUCCACCUCCAGGAAGAGGAGCAGCAGAGAUAAAGAGAAGAUGGAGCGCAAGCCUGUCAAGUCUGUCAAGGUGGACAGGGACUGCGACAAGGAGAAAGGGGACUACGAGAGUGACAGGGAAGGUUCACCAACACUAAGUGAGGGCGUGACAUCACUCUGCGCCCAGCACAAUGGCAGCUGCAACACACAAACAGAGGAUGAUGUGACUUCACUCACCGACAGCACUGAGUGAUGGCUGGGAAGCAAGGCAAAACUAUGGGAGCAAGACAGUCCACUGUA